AGGAGAAAAGGAAAAGGAGGAUGGACAACAUGAAGAGGACCAAAACAAAGUGGAGGAAGAAAAAACACAGGAAGAAGAAAAGGUUGAAGAGAAUUUCUACUCUGGAGGAAGUGAUGUGGAGGAAGCAGAUGGCCUUGAGAUCCUUAUGGAAGCCCCAGAAGGAUUUAGGAACUCAGAUGAGGAUCGUUUCUCUGAAUCACAGGAGUCGAGUGUGGAAGACGUGCAGGAUUUGGGACAGAUAGAAAUGCCAGAGGAGAAGGAGGAACCCAGCGAGGAAAAGGGAGAUGAACGACAUGGAAAAGACGCAUCACAUGAUCAAGAGGAAAGUCCCUCCACCCCCAGCCAUUUGGCCACUACUGUCUUUUAAUGACACAGUGGAAUUAUAACUAAACCAUUUCUCCCACUCUGAUCUACUCAUGCCAUCUCCCUCUUACGCUGAGGGACCAGAGGCCUUGAGGGUGUUCCACUUACUGCUCAGACAAACAAGCUCUUCCAUUACGGUGGAGUUUGUGCACAUAUUUGCCUUGUUCUGACCAAGAACGAUAAACCUCGGGGUUUCUGCACCUCAGUCAUGACUGAAAAAAAACCACACGCACACACAUGUCCCUUCAAAAGUUCUCGCUCCUUCAACACACACUCUUGUCAUGUUGCCUGGGUUUAAGUGGGAUACCACAUAAGUUUACACUUUCAUAAACUGUUCCUGUCAUGUGCAAAUUCAAUGUCCAAAUUGCCAACAUUUCAGGAACAGCUAAAAGCGGCCUUGUUUUUGGCUUUAUUAUAGUGCAUUU